rnacentral:rRNA from 1 species
UACGGAGGGUGCGAGCGUUGUCCGGAAUCACUGGGCGUAAAGCGCACGUAGGCGGGUCCUUAAGUCGGGGGUGAAAUCCUGGAGCUCAACUCCAGAACUGCCUUCGAUACUGAGGAUCUCGAGUCCGGGAGAGGUGAGUGGAACUGCGAGUGUAGAGGUGAAAUUCGUAGAUAUUCGCAAGAACACCAGUGGCGAAGGCGGCUCACUGGCCCGGUACUGACGCUGAGGUGCGAAAGCGUGGGGAGCAAACAGG